rnacentral:snRNA from 1 species
AAAUGCUGAGGGUGAUCUGGCAAUGACAUCUGUCACCCCAUUGGUUGACAGGGUUGAUAUGGCUAAUCGUGCUGGCUAGACAGGUGUCUUCUUCCUUCCUCACCACUCUAUGUGCUCCAUGUGUGUUCCUCCCAAGCCUGCAUGCCUCCCUGCUCUCGAUAGUGGAGGACUGUUUCCUUGGUCAAGGGUAUAAAAGUAGCUAUGCUCCUCUGCUAGAACCUCUAAACAAGCGCUCAAGAAAUACAUGCUGUGCUCCAACACUUUUUAAAAAUAAAAAAAGACUAUAAAGAGUCAGAUAAUUUAUUUU